AACGUGGGAGACAAACGUUAUCCGGAGUUACUGGGCGUAAAGGGCGUGUAGGUGGUUGUGUAAGUUCGGCGUGAAAUCUCUCGGCUUAACCGGGAGUGGUCGUCGGAUACUGCACGACUAGAGGACGGUAGAGGCGUGUGGAAUUCCGGGUGUAGUGGUGAAAUGCGUAGAGAUCCGGAGGAACACCAGUGGCGAAGGCGGCUCACUGGUCCGGUACUGACGCUGAGGUGCGAAAGCGUGGGGAGCAAACAGG
rnacentral:rRNA from 1 species